rnacentral:lncRNA from 1 species
AAUGUUCCAAGAGUAAUAUUUCCUUCAUGCUGCGAUUUUGAUGAAUCAAAUGUUCACAUAAAAAGUAGUUUCUUCGUCUCUCCUAUAAAAAAAUUAUUCAUCUCUCCUUUAUUUUUUUUCAUGUGACUUAUUUUAUUUUUUCCUUAUGCUUUUAUGACAUUGUUAUGCUUUUUUGUUUUCGUUAUUAUUCUAUUUAAAUUUAUGGAUGGUUUAUAAAUGAAUACUAUAGUUUUUAUUUUUACUUUUGUGGUUCCUAUGCAUACAGGGUAUUGAAUCAAGAAAUCACGAACAAGCACAAAAAAUAAGAAUAUGGAGAUAUUAUUUUAUAGAUGAAACCGAUUAUAUGAUGGUUGAGUUCAAGACAACAUAUUCUUCACACGAGGGCCUAGGGGAAAAAAAGAUGACAUUAUGACAAACUUUGAGAUUCCAAAGAAAUUAGUCGUUCUUAGAAAAUAAUCUAGAUAAAUUUUUUACUAUGAUG